GACGAACGCUGGCGGCGUGCUUAACACAUGCAAGUCGAACGGAAAGGCCCUGCUUUUGUGGGGUGCUCGAGUGGCGAACGGGUGAGUAACACGUGAGUAACCUGCCCUUGACUUUGGGAUAACUUCAGGAAACUGGGGCUAAUACCGGAUAGGAGCUCCUGCUGCAUGGUGGGGGUUGGAAAGUUUCGGCGGUUGGGGAUGGACUCGCGGCUUAUCAGCUUGUUGGUGGGGUAGUGGCUUACCAAGGCUUUGACGGGUAGCCGGCCUGAGAGGGUGACCGGCCACAUUGGGACUGAGAUACGGCCCAGACUCCUACGGGAGGCAGCAGUGGGGAAUAUUGCACAAUGGGCGGAAGCCUGGUGCAGCAACGCCGCGUGCGGGAUGACGGCCUUCGGGUUGUAAACCGCUUUCGCCUGUGACGAAGCGUGAGUGACGGUAAUGGGUACAGAAGCACCGGCUAACUACGUG
rnacentral:rRNA from 1 species